CCUACGGGGCGCACCAGGCGCGAAACCUUCGCAAUGUGCGAAAGCACGACGAGGUUAUUCCGAGUGAUUUCCGCUGAGGAAAUCUUUUCUCAGAUCUAAAAAGUCUGGGGAAUAAGGGGAGGGCAAGUCUGGUGUCAGCCGCCGCGGUAAUACCAGCUCCUCGAGUGGUCAGGGCGUUUAUUGGGCCUAAAGCAUCCGUAGCCGGCUCAGUUGGUCUCCUGUUAAAUCCAGCGGCUCAACCGUUGGUCUGCAGGAGAUACCGCUGGGCUAGGAGGCGGGAGAGGCGGACGGUACUCCGAGGGUAGGGGUAAAAUCCUUUGAUCCCCGGAAGACCACUUGUGGCGAAGGCGGUCCGCCAGAACGCGCUCGACGGUGAGGGAUGAAAGCUGGGGGAGCGAACCGGAUUAGAUACCCGGGUAGUCCCAGCCGUAAACGAUGCGAGCUAGGUGACACAACGCCUUCGGGGCGUUGUGGUGCCGCAGGGAAGCCGUUAAGCUCGCCACCUGGGGAGUACGGACGCAAGUCUUGAAACUUAAAGGAAUUGGCGGGGGAGCACCACAAGGGGUUGAAGCCUGCGGUUUCAAUUGGAGUCAACGCCGGGAAUCUUACCGGGAGCGACAGCAGAUUGAAGGUCAAGCUGAAGACUUUACCAGACGAGCUGAGAGGAGGUGCAUGGUCGUCGCCAGCUCGUUGCCCGUU
rnacentral:rRNA from 1 species